CAGUGCAACAAAAAAAAUAAUUUGAAGAAGUUAUGGGCCAACUUUGGCGGAACACUUGAAAAUAAUAUCGGGAUUAAUUUUCACUAUAUUUUGGAACAUAUUUUGCACAUAUUAAACUUUUCGAUGAAUUCCUCUCACUGCGUAGAACUUAUUUUGCGAUGUAUUGAAUGCAACUUUGACGUACGGCCAAAUGUACUUAUGUAUUUCUUGUAACUUGAUAUGCACAAAGGGAAAUUGGACUUAGAUGGCCGCACGAUCAAAGAGAAAUGGAAAAGACGAUGAUUUUUUUUUAAUUGCCUUUGUCGGAUUAAGUCGAAUUUGAAUUUGAAAUGACCAGUCUAUAUGUUGUAUGGUUAGUGCUGAAACCCAAUAAGAAUAAAUAUAGCUGUACGUUCGCGUUAAUAUCAUCUGAAAACACUAGGAAAAAAAAAGAAAAGUCAAACAACAACCACAUUCACCAAUUAAUCUAACAUAAUUCUUUUUGAUCAGCUGUCGCCGUCGGAGAAAGAUCUUUCGCCGUUGGAUUGACGACCAUGUAAAUGAAAUAUAAUAAUAAAUUUAAAUUAAAUGGAGAUGCUCCCAUGACUAUUUGGUUAAAAGUGUUUAGUGAAUUCGACUAUGCCCUUUAGGCAUAUCGGCAAAGAGUGAACGGAUACAGAACAACGCUAAAGCCUCUCUCUCGCUCUCGCUUCCAUUUCUUCUGAUGAGCAGUUUUGUUUUUUUUUUUAUUUUGGCCUACGCAUUAUUCUACUAGUGUUACUCUCUCUUUCUAACGCAUGCAGUCACGCAUCGAGAGGCGAUAAGAGCUUUGCGAUCUUUGUGUUUACCUUUUUGUAUUCUUUGCCCUACUUAUUACGCUGCCUGCUGAGCUUUGACCUAGUUAAAUUUUUGUAAUGUGCUGGUGUCUCAUUAUAAAAAGUAUGGCUAAACUUUAUUUAGUUCUAUCACUAUGAAAGCGAUUUAAACUUAAUGGUAUUUCAAACUAUUGAAACAUAUUACAUUUAUGCCAACUUAUCUCACUGGAAGGGUGGGGAUACUGCCGCUUACAGACAUCUGAGCUGGACCAACAGGUUGUGUGGAAGGACAUCCAUAAUGCGACCAGGGCAUUUGCCCACUUGGACGUCAAGGAAAGGGAGCUGAAGGUGUUGUUUGACGGAUUUGCAAAGAUGAACACUACGAUUCAAAAAUAGAAGCAAGAAUCUUCGUAUAUGUGGUAGUUAUUUCCUGCCAGAGAUCCAGCAGUAAUGUAUUGUGGUGCUGCUUUUAGUCGGUUUUAUGCAAAGAAGAUUUUACAUUCGAAAGAAAUCAAAAAUUGCGCCAUUCUUGCAUAUAGAAACCAGCUGUUGAAGGGGUGGCACUUAUAGCCUGCUUCCAUUGCCGCAUUAAAACGCAUUUAGCCAAAUGCGCAUUUAUUUACAC